AGCACAUCCUGACUGAUUAUCUGCCACAGCUGCUCAUGAUGAAUCCUGAGCUGUUUGCACACUGCAUAGAGCAGAUCCUGACUACAAGACGGAAAGAGCAGCUGAGGUCCAAAGCAAGUGAAAAGAUGUGGAUGAAGAUCGAGGCACUCGCUAAGUCCAAAACACAGCUACGGUGCAAAACCAAAGAACUCACAGCCACAGAAAAAGAAAGAAGAAAAGGUUAAACCGACUGAGGACCCAACUGUCCAUAAGAAGAAGAAGACUGUUGUGUUUGCUGACAGAGUGACACGGGUUCCUCC